UGUGGACUGAGUCCUAAAGGGUGAGACGGGCCGGCAUGGGAGGUCUGAGGGAACAGUGUGCCAGGCAGAGGGAACAGCAGCAGGUGCAGAGACCGAGGGGAGGAAACAGGUCUUGAGAAUUGGAGGACUAGAAACGAGGCCAGCGUGUGUGAGUCAUAAGGCAUAAGAGUGGUUGGGGAUGGGGACAUGGAAAGACUUCGCAAAGCAUCGAGUGGGCCAGAAGGAGAAGGGAAUGGUGUUGUCAUUGUGAGUUAUUACUGCAGUGACAGUGGGCUUUGUGUCCAGCCCUAGAUUCCAGAGACGAGGAGGACCCUCCCACCCGUUCACUUCAGGAAGACCAUGAACCUUCCCCCUUGCAUCGCCAUUGGCUGAAUCAGGUCGGCUCUGCUGGCCGCAGACUCGUUCUCUGUUUAUCAAAGGCUGUAGCAGGUGCAUUAAAACGUAUCAGCCCAGCCCCAGGCAGAUGGAGGCGACACGGAGAGCUUGGAAUCGAAAAGAGCUGCUGAUCACCGUGACCCCAAGAUACACCUGCUUUCUCUUUGUUAAGGAAUUAGACACGAUACUUUCAUCUUUAAAAACAGAUCAAAGAAAGAAAGAAGGGAAGGAAGGAAGGAAGGAAGGAAGGAAAGAAGAAAAUGCCUGCAAAUCCUUGGUCGUACAUACUUUCUGGUGUUUGACAUCUCCCAGACGUGGUUUGAACUUUGAACAGUCUUAUGGAAACUUUGAGAUCGUGUAAGAACCGCUCUCCCCCUGACACUGUAACAGGAACUCAUACUGAUAUUGGCUUGUUAAGUUACAGAGCAUGUGGGUUCCCAUCAGUCGACAGGUGAGUCAGCAAUCCAAAGAGGUCUCCAAGGACCGGAUUCUUUCCAUUUUGGCGUUGUCUUCUGAGUGGACUUCUUUCUGCCCGAGGGAGGAGACCCUCCUGGGGACUGAGGGUCACGUGGGUUCAGAAGAAACAAUCAGGCCGAGGAAAGCUUUGGAAGCUUUCUUAAAGGAGCAAGCAGGAAGUUUUCUAGACAACUCCAGCAAACCCUUUCUGGAACCUCCUUGGCCCCAACUGCGUCACAUGUGUGUUCUUGACCAAAUCACUGCCCAGGAAAACGGCUGGAGCCAGCUCCUUAUAGGCCCGUGGAAUGUGAGGGGGACAGGGGCUUCACGAGAAGCCAAGGACCCUUCCUGGGGAGGGUUGGUCGUGGAUGCAGUGGGCAGUCAGCGAUACCCACCGGCUGCCUAGGAAAACCAGCCUCAUCCGCCAGCCUCACUGAAGGCAAACUGUUUUCUUCUCCUUACUGCUCGCAUCGAACACUUCUUCCCACCCCCCCCAAUUUUGCAGCACAGCUGGGUGUACUGCAUUUCAGUUCAGUUCUGACACUGUCCGCUCUGAGUUAGCGUCAGACCCCGCAGGCCAAGGGCUCAGUCCCACAAGACCCCACAGGCCAAGGGCUCAGUCCCACAAGACCCCACAGGCCAAGGGCUCAGUCCCACAAGACCCCACAGGCCAAGGGCUCAGU